rnacentral:lncRNA from 1 species
CGACACACUCCAGAACCACAGUCACCACAGAGUCCUCUGUGGAGGCCUGUGUUAAUUUGAAGCUGUGGGCAGAGCACCUCAAAGCCUGAAAAGCCCAUUGCUGGGCAAGAGGAGCUCACAGACUCCACAAAGACACCCAGCUGCAGGGGUGGUGGAGCUGUGGCAGUUUCCAGAGGGGAGGCGUAUCUUGCCUUUGAUCACGUUUUCUAAACCAAGAACCAAAGUCUGCCCAAACCAGGAAAAGCCCAUCUUCCUCUGCCCUGGCGAUCCCUUGGAACACGUGACACCAGCCUAGAAGGUGCCAAGGUCCCUCCUGAAUGCUGUCCACCACUGCAGCAGCCCCUCAGGAUUGUUUAAAGGAGAACAUGUCAAGGUCCUCGAUGCUGCUUUUCAUCACUGAGAAGAGAGAAGGUCAGAAGUACUGGCUUUGGUUUGUGAGUAUUCUACCAGCAAAUCAUGAUAUGUCUCAUACAUCGUCUCCUUUAUAGCAGGUCCACAACCGGAUACUGAGACCUGUGAGCCAAUGCAUUUUUUUCACAUGAGAGCCAAGAGUUGAGGAUGCAAGCAAGUACACAGAAAUAAACCAACCAUGCGCCUCCUUGGGACA